GAGACUCUGUGCGCGUGCAUAUCAAUAAGCGGAGGAAAAGAAACUAACAAGGAUUCCCCUAGUAACGGCGAGUGAAGCGGGAAGAGCUCAAAUUUGAAAUCUUAAAGGGUUUCCCUUUACGAAUUGUAGUUUAAAGAAGUGUUUUCUGUUGGAGUUUCGGUAAAAGUUCUUUGGAAUAGGACAUCAUAGAGGGUGAGAAUCCCGUAUUUGACCGUUACUUUCCAGCUGUGUGAUACACUUUCAAAGAGUCGGAUUGUUUGGGAAUGCAGGUCCAAAAUGGGUGGUAAAUUUCAUCUAAAGCUAAAUAUUGGCGAGAGACCGAUAGCGAACAAGUACCGUGAGGGAAAGAUGAAAAGAACUUUGAAAAGAGAGUUAAACAGUAACGUGAAAUUGUCAAAAGGGAAGCGUUUGACACCAGUGUUGUUUAGUUGAAUAUCAAUUAAAUAAUUUUUCGAUUUUAAGUAGUAUUGACCUUAUCAGCUUGCUGCUUUUCUUCUCGGAAAUUAUUGAAUGCACUUUUCAGUUAACAAGUCAACAUCAAUUUCUUUUGUUGUAAAAAGGGUAAGAGGAAGGUGGCUUGCGCUUCGGCUCAAGUGUUUAUAGCCUUUUACCCCUGCAAUCGGAGAGAUUGAGGUACAUGCAGCGUAGACUCCUUCGGGGGUUAGAUACAUUUGUGCUAAGCUAUAGCCUUGUAUAGACAACUUGUUGACUAUGCUCAGUCAUGUAGCUUACUCGCUUAGUGCUAUUUUACCUACGCUUAGGAUGUUGACAGCAGUAUAGACUGU
rnacentral:rRNA from 1 species